rnacentral:rRNA from 1 species
GUGAACGCUGGCGGUAGGCCUAACACAUGCAAGUCGAACGGCAGCACAGUAAGAGCUUGCUCUUACGGGUGGCGAGUGGCGGACGGGUGAGGAAUACAUCGGAAUCUACUUUUUCGUGGGGGAUAACGUAGGGAAACUUACGCUAAUACCGCAUACGACCUACGGGUGAAAGCAGGGGAUCUUCGGACCUUGCGCGAUUGAAUGAGCCGAUGUCGGAUUAGCUAGUUGGCGGGGUAAAGGCCCACCAAGGCGACGAUCCGUAGCUGGUCUGAGAGGAUGAUCAGCCACACUGGAACUGAGACACGGUCCAGACUCCUACGGGAGGCAGCAGUGGGGAAUAUUGGACAAUGGGCGCAAGCCUGAUCCAUCCAUACCGCGUGGGUGAAGAAGGCCUUCGGGUUGUAAAGCCCUUUUGUUGGGAAAGAAAAGCAGCAGGUUAAUACCCCGCUGUUCUGACGGUACCCAAAGAAUAAGCACCGGCUAACUUCGUG